CCAUGUGCCUAGCCCUAGAGAUGGCAGUUCAAGGGCUUGCCCGCGGGCCUGACCCGAAAAGGCUCAUUGCGGAGCGGGAUUGGGCAAAGAUAUUGUGGCCCGUUUAGUUGCGGGUCUCGCGGGACAGGACCGCGGCGGUACUGGGCCGAAGCGGGACGGGCCGAAGCGGGAUGCGGGCAAACAUUGAGGCCCGCUGCACUUUUCUCACCGAGAACAAAGCUAAACGGUGAUCGGGUGACUAUGGCCUAUGGCCAUUCUUGCUCUCUGUGUUUCUUCCCUUUCGAUCGACAAUCACAAACUCUUGUACACAACUCAUCUUUUUUGCAUGCGAUCAAAGACUCGCCUUCUUCUUCUCUUCUCUUUUCUUUUCGUUUCUUCAUCUCUUUCCGCCUGUUCACUUUUUCUUCUUCGAUCAACGACCACAGAGCAUCUUCUUCUUCUCCUCUACACAGUAGAGCGUCGAUGACCAUGUGCAGAGAGAAAAUUAGGAGGGAUGAUCUGGAGUCUCUUGGCUAUAUGAUUAUGUAUUUUCUUCAUGGAAGUUCCAUCAGGCUGUGGGCUCUAAGUGGCGAAGUUCUAAGUCACGACUCUUCACCAAGGUGGUUUGUUUGGUACAGUGGAGUACCAGCUUCACAGCAGAACCUUGAAGACACUGAUGAAAUUUGUGCAGAUUCAAGAUAUCAUUUUGAUCAUGGAAGUGGUUCUCAGGUACCAAUGAUAAAUAACUUAUGAUAUGCAUGAUCGUUCAGUCUGAUAGCACUUUAACUUUUAUUGCUUAGUUUGAUAGGUAGUGCACAUGUAUUGUUUAGUCUGAUAGAACUUGAACUUGUGAUAUGCAUGAUCUAAUCGUUAGUCUAAUUGUUACUCUUAUCUUUGUUCUCUACAGCUGCUCCCAUGGACUCUUUGAACAAUACUGCCGUCUCUAAGCCCAGCUUCAAAAGCAGAGGAGAUGAGAGCAUGCUUAAGAUCACUAAGACGAAACCACAAGUAAGAAAAAUGUUUUAUUUUUAAGAGCUUAGAUAACAAACAAGAAACUUACAUACGUUUGCGGCAUCUGAUUUGUUAAGAAACAAGCAAGAUGUUGCUAUGUUUCUUGAUUAUGUCAUUAUGUGUUUCUAAAUCUUGUCCCUGAAUAUUCCAAAGCCUUUUGUUUCCUAUAGCUGGACAACCAGUCGUGCAUGUUUUGAUGUUUAGAGCUAAUGAAAAAAAUUAGUUUUGAUAACCGAACAAGAGUUUAUAUAUAUAUUUUGAUGUUUGUUUCUGUGUCCAGACGCAAAUGAGUUAUGUCUGAUCAUGUUGUUUCGUUAAUGCAGGUAUGAUAAACCGACGUCCCGCGGACCGACCCGCAAAGCCCAUGUACUAUGCGGGGCGGGAUUGGUCAGCCCUCGACAAAACCGCAUCCCGCGCGGGCCUGUCCCGCUGAGACCCGUUUGAACUGAAGACCGCGGCGGGGCGGGACGGGACGGGACGGGAAGACCCAAUUGCCAUCUCUACCUAGCC